rnacentral:tRNA from 1 species
GCGGGUGUAGCUCAGUGGUAGAGCGUCUCGUUGCCAACGAGAAGGUCAAGGGUUCGAACCCCUUUACCCGCUCCA